UACGUAGGGGGCAAGCGUUGUCCGGAAUUAUUGGGCGUAAAGGGCGUGUAGGCGGUUAAUUAAGUCAGGUGUGAAAGACCGGGGCUCAACCCCGGGAUUGCAUCUGAAACUGAUUAGCUUGAGGGCAAGAGAGGAAAGCGGAAUUCCUAGUGUAGCGGUGAAAUGCGUAGAUAUUAGGAGGAACACCAGUGGCGAAGGCGGCUUUCUGGCUUGACCCUGACGCUGAGGCGCGAAAGCGUGGGGAGCAAACAGG
rnacentral:rRNA from 1 species